rnacentral:lncRNA from 1 species
UCAAACUUUAAUUUUAUUUUUUAGAUUUUAUUUUUACUUUGAUAUUGCAGUAUUUUUUGAAUUAAAAAUGAUGAAUUGAAAAAAAAAAGAUUAAUUGUAUUAUUUGAAUAUUUUAUUAAACUCAAAUGUGUGUGGUGUAAAAACAAUUACAUUAUUAGCCCACUCAUAUCCAUAUUAAAAAUGGCACAGGCUCCAAUUAAACCCAAAUCUCUUCUCUCAUUCCCGUCGUCGUCUUCUUCACAAUUUUAGGGUUCCAAGUGAACAUUUAUAGGUAGCCAACAGAUUUACUUUGGACAAAGGAUCGUCGGCGCCAACCUACUAUUUCUUUACAGACAUCUUCCAUCUCCAGCUAAGCCAAACUGCAGCUAAGAUAAAUCUACAAAUUUUCUAAAGAUUUCUUGUCGGGUCCGAAUGAAACUUGAAGAAUCAAACCCGCAUUCCAUACUGCUAUGAUCCGUGUUGUGUCUUGUCAUAUCGUGUCGACAUGGAUACUCCUCCCGGAAUGGCGAGUCCGAGCAUCAUAGGUUUAGUGAAAUUAAAAUCAAUAAACAACAAGACAAAUAACAUCUUACCUUGGGCUUGCAAAAUUCAUAAUAGGUUCCAUUACCAGGCAAGUUAAAAGUUCUCUGGCAAUGCACCGAACCAGGGGGCAUUGUGCCUCCCUUAGU